CUGUAUUAUAUGGAUUUUCUAAAGUCUUGUUAUAAUUUUAUAAUUUUUGAACCUUUUUUAAGUGUGACCCCAAUAACUUUCAAGUGAUUCUGGGAGCUGUAAACGAGCCAAACCACUGGAUACUGACAGCAUUUUUUCCACAACAAAAAAGGAGUUUGGUGCUUGAUUCUCUUGGAAACGCCUCCACAAAAUUAGUCACAUGUGAAAGGACAGCAAGAGCAUUCAUGAGAAAGCGAGGGUGUGAGGUGUCCACAUGGACAACAGAAACGGUUCCUCAUGCAUUACAGACAGAUGCUGUGUCAUGUGGAGUGUUUGUGCUGAAAUACGCUGAGAAUAUUCUGGCAGAGGAGCCACUGACAUUUACUAAUUCAAAAUCAGCUGUUCAGACUUACAGAUGGGAGGUGGCAAUGACUUUGCUCAAGGAGACAGAUAAUCUCGAAGAUGUGUGCCACUACUGUGGAGAAAAAAGUGGAGAAACAGAAAAAAGCAAACGUGGGAAAAAAAAGAAAGGGCAAGCAUGCAAUACUGUCUGGAUCCAGUGUGAUGACUGCACUAGGUGGUUUCACCUAAAUUGUGUGGGGAAACCCAACAUAAAUGAGAGCUACAGCUGUGCUGCAUGCCAAUAGCAAGAGAGCUAUCUUACAAAGAGAUCACUAUUUUUUUUUUUUUAUAUAUAUAUAUAAUUUUAUUUCCAUUUUUUUUCCCAUUUUCUCCCAAUUUUACACGGUCAGUUACCCAACCCACUCAUUAGGACUCCCCCUAAUACUAGUGAUGCCCCAACACACCAGGAGGAUGAAGACCAACCCCCCCCUUUCUCUGACAGGUGAAGUCAGACUCUGCCUAUUUUUGAACAGCUGCUGAUGCAGCAUUGCCAAGUAGCAUCAUCAGCUCACAGACGCCUUGUGCUGAUCGAAAUCAUCCUUUGGAGUGAUGAGGGGAAAGAGUGCCAUGUACCCACCCAGAGAGAGCAAGGCCAAUUUUGCUGCCUGAGGGUUCCGGUAGCUAAUGGCAACUACAUAAACAGGAUUUGAACCGGCGAGCUCCUGGUCAUAGAGGCAGUGCAAAGCCUGCUGGACCACUCGGAGGCCAUCACUAUGUUUUGUUUUGACAGAAAGGUUUGUGUUUAUGUGUAUGUAUCUUUUGCAUGUUUUCCCAUUAUUUGAGCUUGAUUAUUAUGUAGACUUUGCAAUAAAUAAGUAUUUUCAA